rnacentral:lncRNA from 1 species
GCUUCACUAAUAAUUUAUCAGGGUGUCUUUUUCCCUUGUCUACUUUCCCAUUGUCUAUUUUGGCUUUUCCUCAUUUCUUCCAAUUUGCUGAGAAUGAGGUAAAAACUCUAGUUAUUUUAAUUUGUAUUUCUCUGAUUAUUAGUGAUUUGAAGCAAUCUCUUAUAUCAUUUUUAUCAUUUGCAAUUUAGCUCCACAUGAUAACAAGGUCAGUGACAAUCUAGAAUUUAUGUAGGAGAAGGCAACCAGGAAGGGUAGGUGACUUGAAGUUAUUCCAUGGAAAUCAAUUAGUGGACCUGGAGGAGGAGAGUCUUUCCCUGGAUCCUGCGUCAGCUUACAAUGUGGAAGUUCUCAACUAAGGCAAGGUUCAAAUCAUACCUCUCCAUGAUGCCUUGGUUCAACAAGAGAGGGAAAAGAAUUUGUUCAGCCCCAAAGGCAAAUUUCCCACUCAAACUGAUAGAUUAUUAUUUCUGGAUGAAGCUUUUAGAUUCAGACAGACGGUGUGGAAAUAAUAGACUGCAGCUGAUUCAGACACAAGGGGCAGAGAAGGAGUAGCAGAUCUCUGUCAUCCCUAGAAAUCUGACCACCUGACAAUAUGGGAAGUUGACUGAUUUGGUUCAUAAAAGGUAUUUAAAUUUGUUUCUGUGUUGGAAGAAUAUAAAUGAAUAACAAUGUAUUUGUUAAGCACACAAUGGGUGCUAGAUGACACAAUGGAUAUAAUUAUCCUGUCUGAAGUCAAGAAGACCUGAGUUCAAAUCUAGCCUCAGAUACUAUGUUGUCUUCAGCAAGUCAUUUAAGUCAGUUUGCUUCAGUUUCUUCAUCUGUAAAUGAGCUGGAGAAAGAAAUGGCAAACCACUUUAGUAUCUUUGCCAAGAAAACCUCAAAUGGGGUGAUAAGGAUUGAGACAUGACAGCAGAUAUGACUGAACAACAAAUGUGCCAAGCUUUGAGCAUAGACAUACAAAAUUAAGUCAACCAUUGUCCUUGAGAUGCUUGCAUUCCAAUAAGGCAAGAUAUUAUGAUUCUAUAAAAUUUAAAAGGUUUUUUGCAUGAGUAAAAUAAAAAUAACCAGAAGAAGAAAAGGAGGCUAGGA